GCAACUACCUGUUAUUGUAAAAGCUUUACUUUCCAAGAACACACAGGGCGAUGCAAGAGGUUGAAUUCCAGUCUGCCCAUACGAGAUUGCGGGGAGGAAGGCCACGCACAGACCCUAAACAUUCUCAAAUUUCGACACACUCUCAGCUGAACGCUUGAUUUCGCAAAAUAGCGCCCACUAUUCGCCAGAUGCGAAUCUCUCUAGAUCAGGAAGAAGUUCCUCUAAAGCAAAAAGCAAAAACUCCUAAAAGAGUUUGCCCCUUAAAUUUUCCACAAGAGGGGCAGUUCCCCUUUAAACUUAGGGAAGACAGAUAACAGCAGAUGCAAAACCACGUGUCUCUCAAAACUACAUUUCCCAAGGAGCAUUCCGCCGAGCAUGCGCACUGGCGGCCCACUCACUAUAUAAGGACACUGCACAGUUGCUUCCCUCUUUUCGCUUUGUACGUCGUUGUGGUCGGGUCGAGUAAGAGCCAUGCUCCGAAUCCUGGGCCCAACUGA
rnacentral:lncRNA from 1 species